GACGAACGCUGGCGGCGUGCUUAACACAUGCAAGUCGAACGGAAAGGCCCUGCUUUUGUGGGGUGCUCGAGUGGCGAACGGGUGAGUAACACGUGAGUAACCUGCCCUUGACUUUGGGAUAACUUCAGGAAACUGGGGCUAAUACCGGAUAGGAGCUCCUGCUGCAUGGUGGGGGUUGGAAAGUUUCGGCGGUUGGGGAUGGACUCGCGGCUUAUCAGCUUGUUGGUGGGGUAGUGGCUUACCAAGGCUUUGACGGGUAGCCGGCCUGAGAGGGUGACCGGCCACAAUGGGACUGAGAUACGGCCCAGACUCCAACGGGAGGCAGCAGUGGGGAAUAUUGCACAAUGGGCGGAAGCCUGAUGCAGCAACGCCGCGUGCGGGAUGACGGCCUUCGGGUUGUAAACCGCUUACGCCUGUGACGAAGCGUGAGUGACGGUAAUGGGUAAAGAAGCACCGGCUAACUACGUG
rnacentral:rRNA from 1 species